GAUGAAGAACGUAGCGAAAUGCGAUACGUAAUGUGAAUUGCAGAAUUCAGUGAAUCAUCGAAUCUUUGAACGCAUAUUGCGCUCUCUGGUAUUCCGGAGAGCAUGCUUGUUUGAGUAUCAGUAAACACCUCAGCUUCCAUAUCUUUUUUGAAAUGGGAGUUGGACUUGAGUGAUCCCAACGCUUUUCCUCACCGAAAAGUGGCGGGUUACUUGAAAUGCAGGUGCAGCUGGACUUUUCUCUGAGCUAUAAGCAUAUCUAUUUAGUCUGCCUAAAAACAGAUUAUUACCUUUGCUGCAGCUAACAUAAAGGAGAUUAGUUCUUGUGCUGACUGAUGCAGGAUUCACAAAGACAGGCUUCGGCCGACUUUGUAAACUCGAUCUCAAAUCAAGUAAGACUACCCGCUGAACUUAAGCAUAUCAAUAAGCGGAGGA
rnacentral:misc_RNA from 1 species